rnacentral:lncRNA from 1 species
GUCAUUGUGGGCUCAUUUGGACGCUGAGUAUCUCCACAAGGGCCAGAUUGGAAGCCAACUGCAUGCUGGUUUCUUCGCCACUCAGAGAGUUUCAGGAAACCAGGCUCCUGUUUGGACAUCUCGCCCUUGUCUGGCAUACUUUAUGCAUUGAGCAUCCAGGACACCAGUUUGGCUCAUUUUACUGGAAGAGAAAGAGAGGAACACUCUGGAAAAAGAGGAAAAAGAGUUCAGGAUUGAGUGAUGUUCUGUGGAUGGUGCUCUGAGCGCCAUUUUAUGUAAAAGGUUAUUCGAGGCAAAUGCCAAGAUUCCAGAGGAAGCAGCUGGCUGAGAGGCAAUGGCUGGGACCUGUCCACACUAAGGUCUUCAUCCACCCCCAUCCCCACCAGGCCUCAGCUAUUCAUGAACAUUUUGCCUUGGUUUAUGGUUAUUUAUUCCCCUUCUUCCUGCAGACCAGAGUUUUUAAACUAACUCCUUGCUUUUUUGCAUGUGCACAUGUAGGGUUGCUGCACGUGGGUGGCAUAACUGCAGUGCAGUGGCUCAUGGGGCUUUCCAAGAGGCUGACAACAGCCAUGAAGUAUGAUUUGUUCAAUGAGCAGAAAUGGCGCUGCCCUCUGGGAGUGCCCCCAACCUCUGGGUCCCUCGCUGGUCAGGACUGGCUUGGAUUGUGCCCACGGAAAGACGUGUUUCUUACUGGCUCCUCUCCUCCGGGCUGAGUUUAUGCUGACCAAGCUCCAAUUGUAUUUUGCUUUCUAGCCUGCCUGGGUGGGUAAGAAAGGAGCAGGUUUCUUUUGGGUGGGGAGGAACAUUCCUUUCUUCCUGUGGGGAAGGUGGUAUUUAUGUUUCUCAGAAAAGAACUUCCCGAAGAAUAACAUAUUGCUAUAUGCUUUGGAUGUUUGGGGUGAAAAAAAAAGAACAAUUUAAGCAAUCUAUUUCUACUCUAAAGUGCUGUCAGAAGGGUCAAGAGGGAGUAUAACCUAGGAGAGCCCCUCUUCGGAUUUAGCAUGUGAAGAGAGCAUUGGUGCUGAACUCUGCUUAAAAUCACCUUGGAGCUUUUUUAAAAAAAUACCAAUGCCAAGUUCCACCCCAGACUAAAUAAAUCGGACUCUCUUGGCGAUGAGGUCUGAGUCUUGGUAUUUUUUUAAAGCUCCCCAGUUGAUUUGAAUGCGUGGCCAAAGUUGAGAACCACUGCAGUAGAGUAUUGCAUAGCUUAUAUUAGAGUGUGAGCGAGAUGGACUCUUGAUUAUCUGAGGCUAAGUGAAAAAAAUAAAAUAUCGGUUAUUUACUGAGUGCCUUCUCCUCAUCAGGUGUUCUGUUGGGCACUUACCUUAUAUUAACCCACAAUCCCCACAAUAGCCAGGCAAAGCAGGUUAUAUGUUAUCUCUCCAUCUUACAGAAGAGAAACUGAAGCUUAGAAAGAUGAACUGAUUUGCACAAGGUCACCUAGCUGAAAGUGGUGGAAUUUGAGGUAAGGUCGAUGAGAUUCCAAAGCCACUAAACCCUGUGCUCCUAUAAAGGACCCACUGAGGGGCUGAUGGCGAGAAAGGACCACAGGCUUCGAGGGAUGCUGCGUUUGUGGCUAUGGUCAUGGGACAGUUAAUAAAGAGAAGAAAUAUCAAGGUUCAAAGGACAAAUUCCAAGUGUUCAUCUGCUGUGUGCUUUCCUUGGCCCUUCCCAUGUUUCCUGCUGCUGCUAUUCCCUUUUCUCCUUUCAUUUAGUAUGGCUUCUUCUGGCUUUCCGGAAGAUAAGCUGCACUAGAAUACAGGACAUGUCAAAACCGAAAUCCACUGUCUUUCUGUCCAAGGCAGUUUCUGCCCCUGUGAGCUACAUACUGCAAAGGAGCACCUCUAGUCCUCCAGGCAUGGCGGCCUGGAAUCUAGAGCUCAUCCAUAACCCUUUUCACAUCCUGAUGUCCCCACCCUGUGCUUGACAGAGCUUGGUCUAGAGCCAGCUCCUAAUGAUAUGAAACCCUCCUCCUCUCUCUUGCCUAUUGUCAUUAGUUCUUCUCUCUUUCUUUCUUCUGUUUGAUCAUUUUUUGACAGAAAAGGCAUACUACUUGUUUAAAAACAGGAGUAAAACAUAGUGUAAAUUUCUCUGAGUAUGGCCUUUCACAGAGUUUUGACUUUCAGAAGCACGUUAAUGUACUACAUAUUCAAACAAUAAAAUCAAACUAGCAAUUAGGAGAAAGCAAAAAAGCAUCCCCAAACUAGAAGAUAAUGGAAGCAAACGAACCCCACUGUAUUUCAAAUGAAUAACAACACCACGGUGGAAAAAACCUGAUUGGAAUAACUUAUGAACGUGGUAUUCAAUUCUAUCCAUGCUGUCUUGGACAGGGCGGUGAGAUGAGAAUAACCAAGUCCUGAACUCUUCAUAGUAGGGUUGCUUUUGGGAGAAACCAUUCUGAGACUAUUUUAGGUGUAUUACAGGAUUGAGUAAUGAACAGAUUAGUUCAUAUUGUUGGGAACAAGAGUUGUCAUCGUGGAAUGAGAGGUACAAACCUGUAAGUCAAGAAAUAACCCUGUAGGAACUGAUUGGAAUUAGAGGCAUUGGUGUGGAUUCAGAAUCAUGUGUGUAUGAGUAUUGUGUAUAGAUACAGAUAUAUGCAUAUUUCCCAGCUCUAUCCACUGAAAAGGCCAAGAGGCAAUGAAAGUCCAGCAGCAAUGAGCACAUCUAACACCCAGAUCUUGGUCUCUGGUAUCAUUCCCCAAUAAAGGGAACCAGGGCUCCUUGGAGAAAUGACUGAUCCUCAGGCUGAGGCAAGGAAGGUACAAAAUGAACCUGAAAUAUCUUCUUAUACCAGAAAUAAAGAAAAUGAUAAAAGAAAAAGAUAGAAUGUAUCACUAGGACACAGGAAGCAGCUUGCAAGGAUUCUCACUGGUCAAGUCAGAGAUAAUUUGAGCACUUAAAGACAAUAUGAAUUAUAAACCAUUGAAGAAGAGAGAAGUCAUGAGUCUAUACUGGUAAUAAAUAGACAGGGAAAUCAGUAGAGAAGACAGGACAUCUCUUGCUUAUGGUGGAAUACCAAGUACCUAUUGGUAAAUGUGUAAGAAGUGCUACAGUUGGAAAAGUCAUCAUUUUGCGACUGGCCAUAAUGAAAUUACUUCUGGUAAGAAUCAUCAAUAGAUGCUAUCGUAGUCUGGGUUGUUUUAACAGAAUUACUAUGAACUAGGUAGCUAUGAAACACCAGACAUUUUUUUCUCACAGUUAUGGAGGCUGAGAAGUCCAAGAUCAAGGUGCUGGCAUAUUUGAUGUCUAGCAAGGGCCCUCUUCCUUUAGAUGGAUGCCUUUUUUCACUGUAGCCUCAUAUGGCAGAAGGGGCAAGGCAGCUCUUCAAGCUCUCUUUUGUUAAUGGCACUAAUCCCAGUCAUAAGGGCUCUAUCUUUAUGACCCAACCACUUUCCAAAGGCCCUACCUCUUGGUACCAUGACGUUAGGGAUUAGGUUUCAACAUAUGAAUUUUGGGGGGACACAAACAUUCAGACUAAAGCAGAUGCUAGAUCUAGAAGUUUUGAUGAAGAACAGAUGAUGGGAUGCCUCCACAGUGGCCCUGAAAUGGGGUUGGAAACUAGAGGCACCCAAAACAUAGGUGAUGCCUUGAGUCAGACACCCAACAAACCAUUGCCUCUCAACAUCCAUGUCAUAAAAAACAGCAUAGUUUAGUCCCAAAGUUCUCUUUUUAGAUUUGGUUUUUCAAUGACUUUAAACCUUAAAAUAGAAGUGUACCAAGCAGACACCUCAUUUUUCAGUAUAGAAUUAAGUUCUGCUGAUAACAGAUGGAUACUUUCCACAUUAAUGUUAAAUGUGAGCACGCAUCUCAAGAUAGUGUAAUGCACUCCAGGAACCGACAGUGAUAUAUUAAGAUACUGAUUAGACGUAAAACUGAUACAUCAUUCCUUAUAGUGUACACGAAUAGUACCAGUGCAUAACAGUGUCUUUUGGGACUGAGGUCAUUUAUUUUUUCUCCUGGAUAUAUUGUUUAUAUCAUGUUCUCUCC